UCCCUUGUAGCUCAACUGGUAAAGUAUCUGCUUGCAAUGCAGGAGACCUGGGUUCAAUACCUGGAUUGGGAA
rfam:TPA: Bos taurus chromosome 10, whole genome shotgun sequence.